rnacentral:rRNA from 1 species
ACGCUGGCGGCGUGCCUAAUACAUGCAAGUCGAGCGAAUGGAUUAAGAGCUUGCUCUUAUGAAGUUAGCGGCGGACGGGUGAGUAACACGUGGGUAACCUGCCCAUAAGACUGGGAUAACUCCGGGAAACCGGGGCUAAUACCGGAUAACAUUUUGAACCGCAUGGUUCGAAAUUGAAAGGCGGCUUCGGCUGUCACUUAUGGAUGGACCCGCGUCGCAUUAGCUAGUUGGUGAGGUAACGGCUCACCAAGGCAACGAUGCGUAGCCGACCUGAGAGGGUGAUCGGCCACACUGGGACUGAGACACGGCCCAGACUCCUACGGGAGGCAGCAGUAGGGAAUCUUCCGCAAUGGACGAAAGUCUGACGGAGCAACGCCGCGUGAGUGAUGAAGGCUUUCGGGUCGUAAAACUCUGUUGUUAGGGAAGAACAAGUGCUAGUUGAAUAAGCUGGCACCUUGACGGUACCUAACCAGAAAGCCACGGCUAACUACGUGCCAGCAGCCGCGGUAAUACGUAGGUGGCAAGCGUUAUCCGGAAUUAUUGGGCGUAAAGCGCGCGCAGGUGGUUUCUUAAGUCUGAUGUGAAAGCCCACGGCUCAACCGUGGAGGGUCAUUGGAAACUGG